UACAGAGGGUGCGAGCGUUGUUCGGAAUUAUUGGGCGUAAAGGGCGCGUAGGCGGUGCGGUAAGUCACCUGUGAAAUCUCCUGGCUCAACUGGGAGCUUGCAGGCGAAACUGCCGUGCUGGAGUGUGGGAGAGGUGCGUGGAAUUCCCGGUGUAGCGGUGAAAUGCGCAGAUAUCGGGAAGAACACCCGUGGCGAAGGCGGCUCUCUGGGACGGUACUGACGCUGAGACGCGAAAGCGUGGGGAGCGAACAGG
rnacentral:rRNA from 1 species